UGCCAGCCGCCGCGGUAAUACGGAGGGUGCAAGCGUUGCUCGGAAUCACUGGGCGUAAAGCGGGCGCAGGCGGCUCAUUAAGUCGGGUGUGAAAUCCCCGGGCUCAACCCGGGAACUGCAUUCGAAACUGGUGGACUUGAGGCUGAGAGAGGGAAGUGGAAUUCCUGGUGUAGAGGUGAUAUUCGUUGAUAUCAGGAGGAACACCGGCGGCGAAGGCGGCUUCCUGGCUCAGUUCUGACGCUCAGGCCCAAAAGCGUGGGGAGCAAACAGGAUUAGAUA
rnacentral:rRNA from 1 species